GAUGAACGCUGGCGGCGUGCCUAACACAUGCAAGUCGAACGGACUUACAUUGAAGCCUAGCGAUAUGUAAGUUAGUGGCGGACGGGUGAGUAACGCGUGGGUAACCUGCCUUGUACUGGGGGACAACAGUUGGAAACGACUGCUAAUACCGCAUAAGCGCACAGCUUCGCAUGAAGCAGUGUGAAAAACUCCGGUGGUACAAGAUGGACCCGNGUCUGAUUAGCUGGUUGGUGAGGUAACGGCCCACCAAGGCGACGAUCAGUAGCCGGCCUGAGAGGGUGAACGGCCACAUUGGGACUGAGACACGGCCCAAACUCCUACGGGAGGCAGCAGUGGGGAAUAUUGCACAAUGGGGGAAACCCUGAUGCAGCGACGCCGCGUGAGUGACGUAGAAGUUUACGUUACGUGUAAGU
rnacentral:rRNA from 1 species